rnacentral:rRNA from 1 species
CUGCUGCCUUCCGUAGGAGUUUGGGCCGUGUCUCAGUCCCAAUGUGGCCGUUCACCCUCUCAGGCCGGCCACUGAUCGUUGCCUUGGUAGGCCAUUACCCCACCAACUAGCUAAUCAGACGCGGAACCAUCGUAUACCACCAGAGUUUUUCACACCGCUUCAUGCGAAGCUGUGCGCUUAUGCGGUAUUAGCACCUAUUUCUAAGUGUUAUCCCCCAGUAUACGGCAGGUUUUCCACGCGUUACUCACCCGUCCGCCA